CAUUGCUUUGGUGUCACAUGCCAAGAGAGAGAGAUAUACUGAAGCUUUGCUAUGUAGCUUAUUGGCCAACAUAUAUUGAUAAAGUGAACUCAAGUGGUCAGUGAGUCUUCUCUGGGAAUAUAU